ACGAACGCUGGCGGCGUGCUUAACACAUGCAAGUCGAACGAAGAGCGAUGGAAGCUUGCUUCUAUCAAUCUUAGUGGCGAACGGGUGAGUAACGCGUAAUCAACCUGCCCUUCAGAGGGGGACAACAGUUGGAAACGACUGCUAAUACCGCAUACGAUCUAACCUCGGCAUCGAGGAUAGAUGAAAGGUGGCCUCUACAUGUAAGCUAUCACUGAAGGCGGGGAUUGCGUCUGAUUAGCUAGUUGGAGGGGUAACGGCCCACCAAGGCGAUGAUCAGUAGCCGGUCUGAGAGGAUGAACGGCCACAUUGGGACUGAGACACGGCCCAGACUCCUACGGGAGGCAGCAGUGGGGAAUCUUCCGCAAUGGACGAAAGUCUGACGGAGCAACGCCGCGUGAGUGAUGACGGCCUUCGGGUUGUAAAGCUCUGUUAAUCGGGACGAAAGGCCUUCUUGCGAAUAGUGAGAAGGAUUGACGGUACCGGAAUAGAAAGCCACGGCUAACUACGUG
rnacentral:rRNA from 1 species